CCUACGGGUGGCAGCAGUGAGGAAUAUUGGUCAAUGGGCGAGAUGCUGAACCAGCCAAGCCGCGUGAGGGAAGACGGCCCUAUGGGUUGUAAACCUCUUUUGUCGGGGAACAAAACCCGGGACGUGUCCCGGACUGCGUGUAUCCGAAGAAAAAGCAUCGGCUAACUCCGUGCCAGCAGCCGCGGUAAUACGGAGGAUGCGAGCGUUAUCCGGAUUUAUUGGGUUUAAAGGGUGCGUAGGCGGUUCGUUAAGUCAGCGGUAAAAUUGCGGGGCUCAACCCCGUCCAGCCGUUGAAACUGGGAGUCUUUAGUUGGCGAGAAGUACGGGGAAUGCGGGGUGGAGCGGUGAAAUGCAUAGAU
rnacentral:rRNA from 1 species